GAUGAACGCUGGCGGCGUGCUUAACACAUGCAAGUCGAACGGAAAGGCUCCUGUUUGCAGGGGUACUCGAGUGGCGAACGGGUGAGUAACACGUGGGUGAUCUGCCCUGCACUUCGGGAUAAGCCUGGGAAACUGGGUCUAAUACCGGAUAGGACCACAUUUUGGAUGGUGUGGUGGAAAGUUUUUCGGUGUGGGAUGAGCUCGCGGCCUAUCAGCUUGUUGGUGGGGUAAUGGCCUACCAAGGCGUCGACGGGUAGCCGGCCUGAGAGGGUGUACGGCCACAUUGGGACUGAGAUACGGCCCAGACUCCUACGGGAGGCAGCAGUGGGGAAUAUUGCACAAUGGGCGCAAGCCUGAUGCAGCGACGCCGCGUGGGGGAUGACGGCCUUCGGGUUGUAAACUCCUUUCGCUAGGGACGAAGCGUUUUUGUGACGGUACCUGGAGAAGAAGCACCGGCUAACUACGUG
rnacentral:rRNA from 1 species